rnacentral:lncRNA from 1 species
AAAGUAUCUGAGUGAUCCUGAGUAGUUUAAGGAUGAGUAGAGGGUAUAGGGUUUCUGGGGUUUGUGAUUAAAAAUUGAGAUAAAAUGGGGAAGAAAAGGGCAAUUUUUGUGAGGCACGAAUUUCAAAUUUUCCUAGGUUCAGCCUUAGGAAUAAAGGUCAGGUGUUAAUAUAUUCAUACUCUUUCUGACAUCAUAUAGUUUGAUUAUCAUCAGUUGCACCCAUGUUGCUGCAAAUGCAUUAUUUUGUUCUUUUUUAUGGCUAAGUAGUAUUCCAUUGUGUAUAUGUAUUAGAUCUUCUUAUUCCAUCCAUCUGCUGAUGGACAUUUAGGUUGUUUCCAUAUCUUGGCUAUUGUGGGUAAUGGUGCUUUGCACAUAGGGGUGAAUAUAUCUUUUUGAAUUAUAAUUUUGUCUGUAUAUAAGCCCUAAAGUGGGAUUGCUUAAGCGGCAUAAUUUUAGAGCAAAGCUAGAAGUUGAACAUAUACAAAUAUAUAAUUAUAAACUACAAGACAUGGUCUGAGGAAAAUUUGGUUACAUAAGAGAAUAUAACAGGAAGAUUAGUUCUCUAAGGCUAGUGGUUCCAUGAUUAGAAAAGAUCUUAUUAAGAAAGUUAUAUUUAAGUCAAAGCCUAAAGAUGUAUUAUAGAAGGUCAGAAGAUGAAGAAUGAGUAAAAAGAAUAUUCCAGUGUGCAAAAUUGCUAUGUCGAAAAAUAUGAUAUGACUUGCAUUUUUGAGAAACAGACUUCAUAAUAUACUGAAAAAAUCUUGGACGUUGAUGAGAAAUGAGAUGGCGGAGCCAAUUCAUGGAGAUCAUGAAAAAGCACUGGAAUUUUAUUCCAAAUGCAUUUGGAAAGGUAUUGAAAGAUUUGAACUAGCUUCUUAUAUGUUUGAUAAUUUUUUUCAAAGUUUAUUCUGUUUGGAAAAAAUGGAUUGGAAGGUCAUAAGAAUGCAGAAAGGAAAAUCAUUUGGCAGGGCUUUGAGAAAUAAAUGCUUAGGGUUUGGACUAAGUUCUUGCUAGGAGACAUAAAGGGAGAUGAAAAGAACUGAAAUAUAUAUUAAAAGUUGAAGCAGGGGUUCCUGCUGUGGUGCAACAGGAUCAACAACAUCUCUGGAGGACUGGGAUGGAGGCUCAAUCCCCAGUCCCACACAGUGGGUUAUGGAUUUGGCAUUUGCAACUAUGGCUUGGAUAUGACUUUUGGUUCAGGAACUCCAUAUGCUGUUGGGUAGCCAAAAGAAAAAUGUUGACACAAAAUAUAUUGGUUAAUUAGUUGUAAUAGAUUGGGAAAGGUGCUAAGGAAAAGGGAGAAGUUAAUCUCUAUGAUAUUUCUAGCAUUAAAAAAAGGUGAGUGUAAUGAAAGUUUAAUUUGCCAGGAAGUCAAGAAUGAAGAAAGGAAAAUGGGUGAAAAAUCAGGGAUUAUUAUUUGCUACAGUAUCUUACAAAUAGCAUGAAUUAUUGAAUAUAGAUGCCUGUAGACAGUUGAAAAAAGUAGUCUGAAGCUCAGAAGAGAUGGCUGGAUAUAGAUAUAAGUUUGAGAUCUUUUCAAAUUUUGAGGAUAAAUAUGAUUGCCUAGGAAAUGAAUAUAGAGGAACAAGAAAAAAGGGCCCAGAGUGGACCUCUGAAGACAUACAAAAUACAAGUGUUAGAGAAAAAUGAUCUCCUAAAUGAGACUAAAGUGUAGUAAGGAAGGGAAACCAGGUGAGUGUAGGAGUGUCCCAAAGAAAAGGAAGAAAAGUAUGAUUCAAGAACAACUUCAAAUUUCUUGAAUGCUGAGAAGUUGUAGUGAGUUGAAAUUUGUUCUCCAAAAAGAUAUGUUCAAGUCCCAACUUUCUGUGCCUCUGAAUGUGACUUUAUUUAGAAAAAGGGUUUGUAUGAAUGUAAUCAAGUUAAGAUGAAGUCAUACAAGACUUGAGUAGGCCUUAAAUCCAAUCGCCAGCAUCCUUUUAAGAAGAGAGGACAUGAAAAACAUCGAAGUCAUCUUAAGACAGAGGCAAGGAUCAUAGUGCUGUAGCUACAAGCCAAGCAAAGCCAAGGAUUGCUAGGAGACAGAAGAAACUAGGAGAAAGCAUGGAUUUCUUCUCCUUCAGAGCCUCCAUAAAGAAACCAUCUUGUGCCAACCCCAGACGGGAUUAAGAUGGUGGAAUAGAAGGACUGGAGCUCAACUUCUCUCCCAAAAACAACAAAAUUCACAACUAAAGGCUGAGCAAUCUUCACCCAAAUAGACCGGAAACCUUAAAAAAGAUAUCCUACUCCAGAAGAAAAAGAGGAGGCCACAUCAAGAGGUAGGAGGGGCGAUUUCAUGAUAUAAACAACCCCAUACCUCCUGGGUGGGGAGCUCCACAGGCUGGAAACUAACUGGUUCACAGAGACUCACCUACAAGCGUGAGAGUUCUGAGCCCCACAUCAAACCCUCACAUGCGGGGAUCUGGCACUGGGAGAAGGAGCCCUUGGAGCAUCUGGCAUUGAAGGCCAGUGGGGCUUGUGCGCAGGAGCUCCACAGGACUGGGGGAAACGGAGACCCCUUUCUCAAAAGGCGCACACGGACUUUCAUGUGCACUGGGUCCCAGGGCAGAGCGAGAUCUCCAUGGGAAUCUGGGUCAAACCUGACUGCAGUUCUUGGAGGACAUCCUGGGAAAACAGGGGUGAAUGUGGCUUGUUGUGAGGGAAGGACAUUGAAGGCAAAGCUCUCAGGAAUACUCAGCAGCGUGCCUUUCUCUGGAGGUGGCCAUUUUGGGAAAAGCUGGCCCCACCCAUCAGUCAGUGCUGGGGAUCACAGCCCCACCCCUCAGUAAACAGGCUGCCUAAAGACCCCUCAGGCACACAGCUGCCUCUAAUCCCAUCCAGAGACUAAGCCCCAACCACCAGAGGGAUCAGAAUCAGCUCCACCUACCAGUGGGCAGGCAUCAGCCCCUCCCAUCAGGAAGCCUACAGCAAGCCCCCAUACCGACUUCAGCCACAAGGGGGGCAGACACCAGAAGCGAGAGAGGCUACAACUCUAUUAUCUGUGAAAAGGUCACCACACCAAAAACCUAUAAAAAUGAAAAGACAGAGAACUAUAACUCAGAUGAGGGAGAAAGGAAAAACCCCAGAAAGUCGGCUAAGCAAUGAGGAGAUUCUCAGCCUCCAGGAAAAAGACUUUAGAUCGUUGAUGCUGAAGAUGAUGCAAGACAUUGGAAAUAAACUGGAGGCAAAGAUGGAUAACUUACAGGAAACACUGAGCAAAGAGAUACAAGAUAUAAAACUUAAACAAGAAGAGAUGCAAAAUACAAUAACGGAAAUAAAAAAUUCACUAGAAGCAGCUAACAGCAGAAUACAGGAGGCAGAAGAACAAAUAAGCCAGGUGGAGGACAGAUUAGUGGAAAUUACGGAUGCAG